CAAGAAGAGACCCUAACCGGUCCUCUCAACCCUGCCCAUCGUACCUUUUUUGUUGUUCCCUCGGCGGUGCUCGCGGGCCCGCUGGCGGGAAGACCAAACAAACCCUUUGCAAACAAGCAUAUCGAAUCUCUGAUCAAACAUGAAUUGUCA
rnacentral:misc_RNA from 1 species